GAGAGAGAAGUGAGAAUCUUCUCGGCCGAAUAUCCAAGGUUUCCAGGGUAAAGCUGAUCUGCCCUGGGUAAGUCGGGGCCUAAGGCGAGGUCGGAAGACGUAGCCGAUGGACAACAGGUUGAAAUUCCUGUACUGUGAUAUAUCAGAACUGUGGGGACACAGCGGGAAGGCAUGGGCCGGAAAAGGAAAAUCCGGUGCAAGCACCAGAGGAGUAUGGCAGGCAAAUCCGCCAUGCAAUCCGAAAGUGUGAAGCGGAGCGAACAAAAGUAGCGAAGCAUGCUUACCGGCUGUCGAGAAAAGCCGCUAUUGCGUAUAUCACACUCGUACCGUAAACCGACACAGGUGGAUGAGGAGAGAAUCCUAAGGCCGGCGGGAGAAGCAUUGUUAAGGAACUCGGCAAAAUGACCCCGUAACUUCGGGAGAAGGGGUGCUCUUGAAAAAGAGCCGCAGAGAAUUGGCCCAAGCAACUGUUUAGCAAAAACACAGGUCUAUGCAAAACCGAAAGGUGAGGUAUAUGGGCUGACGCCUGCCCGGUGCUGGAAGGUUAAGAGGAGAGGUUAUCGAAAGAGAAGCCUUGAGUUUAAGCCCCAGUAAACGGCGGCCGUAACUAUAACGGUCCUAAGGUAGCGAAAUUCCUUGUCGGGUAAGUUCCGACCCGCACGAAAGGCGUAAUGAUUUGGGCACUGUCUCGACAAUGCACCCGGUGAAAUUGAAAUACCAGUGAAGAUGCUGGUUACCUGCGCCAGGACGGAAAGACCCCAUGGAGCUUUACUCUAGCUUGAUACUGGGAUUCGGUAUUGCAUGUACAGGAUAGGUGGGAGGCUGCGAAGUGAUGACGCCAGUUGUCACGGAGCCGAUGUUGGGAUACCACCCCUGCAGUACUGGGUUUCUAACCUGCGGCCGUAACCCGGCCGGGGGACAAUGUCUGGUGGGGAGUUUGACUGGGGCGGUCGCCUCCGAAAGAGUAUCGGAGGCGCUCAAAGGUUCCCUCAGAAUGGUUGGAAACCAUUCGAAGAGUGCAAAGGCAGAAGGGAGCUUGACUGCGACACCGACGGGUGGAGCAGGUACGAAAGUAGGACUUAGUGAUCCGGUGGUAUGAAAGUGGGAUUCCCAUCGCUCAACGGAUAAAAGCUACCCUGGGAUAACAGGCUUAUCACUCCCAAGAGUUCACAUCGACGGAGUGGUUUGGCACCUCGAUGUCGGCUCAUCGCAUCCUGGGGCUGUAGUAGGUCCCAAGGGUUGGGCUGUUCGCCCAUUAAAGCGGUACGCGAGCUGGGUUCAGAACGUCGUGAGACAGUUCGGUCCCUAUCCGGCGUGGGCGUAGGAUAUCUGAGAGGAGCCGUCCUUAGUACGAGAGGACCGGGAUGGACUGACCUCUGGUGGACCGGUUGCACUGCCAAGUGCAUGGCCGGGUAGCCAAGUCGGGACGGGAUAAACGCUGAAGGCAUCUAAGCGUGAAGCCCCCCUCAAGAUGAGAUAUCCCAUAACGUAAGUUAGUAAGACCCCUUGAAGACGACGAGGUAGAUAGGUGAAAGGUGGAAGCACGGUGACGUGUGGAGCUGAUUCAUACUAAUAGGUCGAGGGCUUAACGA
rnacentral:rRNA from 1 species